UACGUAGGGGGCAAGCGUUGUCCGGAAUUAUUGGGCGUAAAGAGCUCGUAGGCGGUCCGUCACGUCGGAUGUGAAAUUCCAGGGCUCAACCCUGGACCUGCAUUCGAUACGGGCGGACUAGAGUUCGGUAGGGGAGACUGGAAUUCCUGGUGUAGCGGUGAAAUGCGCAGAUAUCAGGAGGAACACCGGUGGCGAAGGCGGGUCUCUGGGCCGAUACUGACGCUGAGGAGCGAAAGCGUGGGGAGCGAACAGG
rnacentral:rRNA from 1 species